GUCCUUAUCCACACGGGUGAGUCUGCCGUGUUCAACACGUCCUUGUUCACUCUGGUGAGAAACCGUUUGAGUGUGACGUAUGUGAUAUGCGUUUCAUCCAGAAGUACCAUCUUGAACGCCACAAGCGGGUACACAGUGGCGAAAAGCCUUACCAGUGUGAACGAUGUCAUCAGUGUUUUUCUCGGACAGACCGAUUACUCAGACACAAACGGAUGUGCCAAGGAUGCCAGUCCAAGACUUCUGAUGGGCAGUUUUCUCUAUAGGCAGGAGGGGCCCUAGGUGGUGGGAGUGAUGAGGAGUGUCUCCUGAAGAGCAUGACCUGUGCUCUGACGUCCCACCACCACUCCCUCUGGACCUGUCCCCUUUCUAGAGGACUGGCCCCUGGCGAGCAGAAGAGCAUCUGAGGACAUCGGCUCCAGAGCCUCAGCUCUGUAACUAGUCUGGGACUAUGAGUGUCCCGGGGACACCUGCAGCAUUCCUGGGCAAGGGAGCUGGUCCCUGAACCUCAGCCGAGGUGAGGUGGGGACUCAGGUGCAGGACCAAGACUGAAGUGUUCCCACAACCUAGGACUGGAACUGGCAGCUAAAAUGGAAAGGACUGGGGAGGGGUAUUCGUUUGUUCUGCUCUUGUUUUUGUUUAUCCAAAAGCAGUUUCAGCAGGUAAACUGGAGACACAGGUAAUGUGGAGGGGUAAAGUCCUGAAGCACAGGGAGGACUGUGCUGGUCUGGCCGUUCCUGUUACUGUAGUCCCUCAGUGUUCCACAGCCCUGCACAGUACUUCCUCUUUGAAAGCAGGCAGGGC
rnacentral:lncRNA from 1 species